AAAAUUCGUUUGAGAUUGUUGGAAAUAAUGUUACUCCACCAAAGAUAUUAUGAGAACGAAUUAUAAAAAAAAAUCGAAAGAAUAAUAGGAGAUGAAGGAAUGACAAAGUAUAUAUAUGAAGAAAUUGAAGGCUCAAACACAAUCUUUAAUUGUUGUCUUCAAACGAAUUUUGCCCCCACUAUUUUGGUGUUUAAAGGGUGAUCCGGCAAAAGGUUUGAAGGAUUAAUCAAGCCUUAUAAAGAUUCAAACACUAAACACUUGUUUGAAUCUUUAAAAUUUAAGAACACAAAGAAAAAGAUGAAUAUGAGAGGGUAUUUUUGUUUGGAUUUGAUCUCAAGAAGUAUCAAUAUAAUAGGUGUUUUUUUCAACAUUUUCCAAUGACCCAAGAUCACCUAUUUAUAGCCAAGUAGUAUAGCUUUACGAAAUGGUGCACCUUAUGGAUGAAAAGCCACCAAAAAAACCAACAAAAAACGACCCAACGGUCGUUUUUUAUGUACCAUGCGACCGCAUGGUACAAACCCAUGCGGUCGCAUGGUACAACGCCGAGACCAUUUGGUCUCGGUAGGGUUCCAUGCGGUCGCAUGGCUUUAGGUCGCAUGGCCUAAAUUUUUUUUUAUUUUUUUUAUUUUUUAUUUUUUUAUUUUUUUUUUUAUUGUUGGUUUUGAGCAAUCAUACCACUUCAUAACAAUCCUUGCAGAUGUAAAUGAUGUAACUCAUGAAUGAACUGACCAGAAUCUGUUUCUGCGGGCAAGCAUACAAUAUUUGGGAGAUUAUGUCGAGGAAUGGAAAUUAUCAAGAGACUUGGCAGUGUUCAAACUGACAACACUGAUAGGUAUGCCCGUUCCCGUAUAUUUUCUUGAUCUGAUUUUCAAACGAACUACAUAGAACAAAUAGGAACCAAAUUUGAACAAGCAACUUCCAUUUGCAUUUUUUAUUCAAAAGAACAGUCAUAAAAAUAGUUGUGGACCUGUUUGGGCUGCACCUGCAGAGUUGGCUUUAGCUCUUACCAUAAUCUAACAAUUAAUUAUAACCUAGGAUUCUUAUUUAUGAACCAACUUUUUUUCGUUCUCUUCCCAUUUGAACAUGUUUAUCCAAAUUCUUAGACUUGGCCUUUACAAUUCUACCCCGUAGAUGUUACUAAAUCAGCUAUAAGGUAUCAUAUGAUUUGUGUUCAGUAGCAAGGCUAAUUUCUUGAUGUUUUAUUAAAGACACCUUUCUAUACACCCUUUGGUGCGACAUGCUAAAUUCGGUAUAAACUGUUACUCUGUGCUCUGUCGAAUUCAGGCCCAUACAUGACGUGAAGAUUCUUCGGGCAACAGUCAAAGACUAAAUUGUUAUCCUAUUGACUUGUAAGUUGUAACUGCACAAGUCCAUGGAAGAUCGAUGAAGUGGUUGGCCUAUUGUUGGAUUAUGAAUUAUGCUACAAUUUUUGUUAGCUUGUAUGUAUUGGAAAUGAGGCUCUAAAUGCAUUUUUGGUAGCAAUAUGAUCUGACAACAGAAUUUGUUUAAUCCAAGUAAACAUGCCAUGAAUGAUGUGAAGAAACAUUAUUGUGAAAACCAUGAGGUGUUUUUUCAUAGCUUUAUUUUCCUUCUCUUGCUCAGUUCUUGUUUCUUAUACCACCAUUAAUUUGCAAUCAAGAUCUUCCAUAAUUAAUUGGACUGCAUAGUAGCCUCUAAAACUGUGGUGUAGGCUCAUCUGCCACAAAAAGCUCUUUGAGAGGAUGGA
rnacentral:lncRNA from 1 species